rnacentral:rRNA from 1 species
GGGCCGGGCGCGUCUGCCCAGCGGUAGCAGCGGGGACCUGGUCAACGAACGAGCGAGGAGGGGGUAGGGAGGGAGGGCAGGCGGUAACCAGCAGCGGUAAAAGGUUAGGGUGAUAAUAUUUGAGCAAGGGGAGGGUUCUUGGGCGUUUCGCGUCCGUCCGUCCGUAGAAGGAGGGGGAAGGAGGAGGAGGGGGCAGGAGGCGGCGGCGACGACCGAAAGGAAGGCCGCUCGCUCCUAGCAGGGACUAGGCAGGCCCCGAGCGGGGGGCGGAGGAGGCACGGACCUCCACUUUAUUCGUUUAUAAAAGGACUGCAGUUCAAACGAUGUCUGACCGGGAAGGAACCGACUUGGCCGUGUGUGAUGGUUGUACCUUUGUAUGUGGUGCCUACUACGCGAAUGUCGGUACCCUAAACCUUUUAACGUUCCUGAACAAGAACAAAUACGUCCGUACCCAACCCAACGUCUUCGGUACCUCCAGUACGAUGACAGUAAACAACCUGGUGACUAAGCUCUCCUUACCUUUUAGAGACGGGUUCUACUUUCAAAUGAGAGUUCACAUCACAAAAACCCGUACAAUUAACCUCGUACACCAACCCCUAUACACAGACUGUUUAUACCCGCUUCCUGACCAAAUGACGAAAGUUGAGACAAAUGAUGACCUUACCCAAAGGAUUCACGAAACAGAGGUUUGAUAAAUACAAACUACCGAGAAGCGAAAGAGCAACCGCAUCCUGACCCACCGUCGGUACACAUAAGUAGAACCAAAAACCUCAAACAAGGACGCGUUUUAGCACCGAAAACCUACUAAUAAAAAAGGAAAAAAACCUGAUAACCGUGUCAGAACCUCCGAAGUGAACGUACCUAACAGCAUAGUUGUAACUGAACCUCCACCAACGAUCGUAACUGACGGUAGGGAACGAAAGAGAACGAGGGAAAGAAACCUUAAUGUGGACUUAGCGGUGCGAUAGACACACGCGUUUUAUCUUAUAGACUACGUUGUGAACAGGACCUCUCUUAGCGGCUCUGUUUGGUUCGUUGAGAAGGAGGACCUCAAGAGCAUAUGGGAGCUCUGCCACUUCAACUAGUAUCAUGAGAAUGGAGACUCCGUCUAGUAGAAGAAGGUGAGUCUCUCUUCCUUACGUGUCUACUACUACAGUGUUCGGGGUUUAGACCAUCACGACGACGUAACGCGUCAGACGACAGUGCCUUUAACGCAUCUAGUUGAGAAGAUGAAACCAAACAAAAGAUGCGUUUAAGGAAACGAAUAAUACCUGAUCAGAACGACUGGCGCGUUGACUCGUUACGUUUAUUUUCGACACGUAGACCCGACUUUAUACACUUCUCACUUUGUCUACGGUCGGAAAUGUUUCUAUGUAAACAGUGAUCAGAACGUCGAUGUUACACCACGAACGAGAAGUGUACGACACCAAAGGAACCGGGUGAACACAAAAUAGUCUCACUCGAUACCUGUUGACCGGAAGAUAAACCACGAGCACGAACACGGUACCCAUCGAUGUGUCAACAUACAAAUAUACGGGGUCUCCAAGCAUAGAAAAAGAGUACCGUACGUCAUUUACACAAAGAACCACUGAACUGGUAGUGUCAUAUCACUCAAAUUACACAACUUUCAUGGCGGACCAUCCGGAUAUUCAACGUUAAAGUUGUAAUAUAGGUAGCUAAACCGAUCCAUGAAUUUUACCAUAAAACGAAGGACUUAUAAACUUAAAAAAAUACAGACGUAAUGUAAAGUAUUACUUCUAUAUACAUUCAUUUGACCACGCUCAUUCUGGAUUUGCUUAUUUUGUAUGAUGACGUAGGAAGAAUAAUUAUAAUAAGUCAUUACAAAAGAACAGUGUGACAGUAUAAUACUGGUAACACUGAAAAAAUACAUAACUUAAUGUACUUCCCUCAUAGAAAUCUGUCCUGGAUACGUUCCCGAAAAACAUAGAUACUAGAGGUGUAGUUCGAGAACGUUUCGCUACCUGAAGAGAUUCUGUCUUCUCUUCGUUCGUUGGCUGACUAUAUUCGUGCCAGUGUUCUUAUAAAAUGAACGAUCUCGUAGGUGAAAAAUCAUAGUAACUAAACGUAAACAAUUAAAACUCAAAUAAUAACCCAAAUGUUCCACAAGUGGUGUCUUAAAACACGAAGCUUUAAAGAACUCCUGGGAUCGUAGCACAUCCAAAGAAACCAAAUAUCCAUUAGGUUACGUCACUAUUUCCUAAGAGGAAGGUAGUAACAACAUGAACAGGAUGAAUAAAUUUAGUAUUUAAUUUAGACAAUUGAUACAGGUCAGUCUUACAUGGGUCCUACAUUUGUUUGCCUGUAGGACCAGGUGUCUAUUGAGCCGAUUUACUUCAGAUUGCUAAGACUAGGUAAAAGGACUGUUUUUUGGUUGAUUCAAUACCGUACACCAUAAGGGGCAGAAUCCCAGAACAAAUACGAGAAUCGAUCCUUGCGAAUCUUACAAUACUGUUUCUAUGUAGUCAACAACGUCGUUUAAAAUGGGUUUUGUCAGAACAUCUCGUCAACAGUCAUCUAUAAAGCGAAUUCCUCAAGACAAAAGGAUACUUGAUUGAAUAAGAGAACAGGAAGAUCCAUAUGGGCUGCAGCCACGCGAGCUGGCCCCAACCUUAGCGCUGGCGGUACCCCUCUCAGCCACCUUAAUAAACGGGGGAACAUCGGCAACCCUACGACUCUUCGACGGUAGUCUACCUUCGUUAGUAACACAAACUCCACCACAAUAAGGAACGACGUUAACGGACGUACGAGAAGGGAAAACUCUGGUUCCCGGCGCGUUACUUGACUACUACCAGUACCACAUUUGUUCAUUUUUGUGAACCUGGUAUUUUAAGCAGUACGACGAAGCGCACUUGCAAAUAUAUGUUUGACAAUAUACAGAUCAUAAAAUCACCUGUACUGCUACUUCUAAGGAGCUUUAAGUAAAGCCCCAAAGCCUACAAUAACCUGUAGUAAAACAUUUCAGGAGUGAGGAAUUCUGACAUUCAUCCUCAUACAAUACCAUACAUACAUACAUAUUUAAGAAACUUGCACUAAUUCACAGACGUUGUCCGUAAAGAUGGUCAUUGAAAACGACUUAAGAGUACAACUAAACCAGGGAUCAGCUUCAAUCUCAACGUUCAACAUUGGGAUCAAACGAACACAACACCAAUACCUUAACAAUCCAACGAACGUAGUAUGUACCAAUAAUUUGAUCUGAAAGUAA